rnacentral:lncRNA from 1 species
AAUUUUUAGCUCACCUGGCCCGAAGGGCCAAGUGAGCUUUUCCCAUCACUUUGCGUCCGGCGUCCGGCGUCGUCCGUCGUCGUCCGUCGUCGUCCGUCGUCCGUCGUCGUUAACUUUUACAAAAAUCUUCUCCUCUGAAACUGCUGGGCCAAAUUAAACCAAACUUGGCCACAAUCAUCAUUGGGGUAUCUAGUUUCAAAAAUGUGUGGCGUGAUCCCGCCAACCAACCAAGAUGGCCGCCAUGGCUAAAAAUAGAACAUAGGGG